rnacentral:lncRNA from 1 species
GUGUUAAUGCUAAUACAACUGCAUACCAAAUAUCAUUGACCUUCGAUUAGUGGUGCUCCAUAAACUGACCUUAUCACAAACUAAUACAUGAAAAUUAAGCAAAAGUUGCAAAGUCAAUAGACCAUGACUGAUGGGACAGGGCCAAAUAAUCUCUAUGGAAAUGAGAUAAGCCAAUGCUUACACACAUGCUUACAUGUGUGUUAACACUUACAAGUAGGUGUAUUGCAUUCAGCAUGGCUAUCAUUG